CUUCCCAAAAUAGUGGCAGCAUCUCCCAGCCCAGGGCGGUUCUUGAUUUCUCCACACCUCAGUUUCCCAUCUGUCUAAUGGGAAUAAUAACACCGACCCAUUUCAUAGAUACAUUAGCGUUCCAGAAGCACUUAGAUGCUAUGGUAACAGGCGGCAUUACGCCGCCCACGCUCCCCCAUGCUGACUCCAUUAUUCAGCAGAACGCAGCCAGGCCAGAAGAAGCUUCCUGCCAUGCUGGAUGAAGGAUGGGCAACACACCUUGCAGACCUCAGCCCCUUUCUACGUGCCGUGCGGGACACAUCGGCUGCUCUCUGGAUGAGCAGCUUCAUCAGAGAAAUCUCAUGAGAGCAUCGGGCAGGAUUGGAGCAGCGCCUGUCCUGAGCAGGGAGGAACAAUCCCUUCUGUGGCCCUCAGCACGAGCAGCAAAAUCCAAAAGCUAUCUGAGGCUGAGCACAGCCUUUGGGGGCACCUCCACCCGCCCCAGAGACGUUGCAAGUAGGCAUAAUUUCCUCUAGUGGUGGAAACUGAGCUAAAACGCAGCCAACAGCUCAAGGUCAGAGCAUCCCUGCCAGCUUGUCCUUGGGACUGCAGAGCCCCUGCCCUACACCUCAAGGCAGAGCUCUGCAUCAGGCCGUGCAUUCCCCUUCUCUCCUCCACAGCCACUCCACGCUGUUGGUAUUCAAGUUCCAAACCAUUAAAAGAAAAAGUUCCUAACAAGCUCGAGUGCAGUGACCUCAUUCCGCAUGCAGCAGCCUCGUGUGUUGCAGCAGAUAUUUUAUUCUUCCCAUAUUAGAGGUGAAAAGCGUGUAUUUAGGGAAGGCACCACGGUGUGAGACGUCAGGAAGGAUGGCAGGGAGUCAGCUUUCCCUUCCCUGGAGGAGGCUGUCCUCUCUGCUCACAGCCUGCUCACCCACGCACCCCACUGCCAACACAACUCAAUCCAUGGGGCAAACUGAGGCAGGCGGGCUCACGGGGCCACGUUUCUGCUGCUUGUGUGGCUGUGCUCCAUUGCCAACUCAGCUCUGGGGGCAGUUUGCAGCAGCAGCAUUCACGCACCCUGCGUGGACGGGGCCAGAUCCCAAGCUAAAGCUCAGCUCCUCCACCCCCUGCAGCCUUCAAAGGCUCACGCUGCACCAGCUUCAUUCACCCCUUUCAUCCAACUCUACCAUUUCCAAAAUAAAUAGGUUUUUAUCAGCACAGUUGUUACAUCUGACCAAGAGGAGCUGCUCCUAUGGAACAAACAACCUGCACCGCAGCCAGCACCACUGUCCUGCGCUCAGCAGAAAGCCUGCAGCUCUGUCGCCGUUUCUUGCAUCCGAGCCACUCGCAUGGCUCUGCCAACCUCCACCACCUGCUCUGCUUUUCCACGCUUUGGCCCCGGCUUCUGCGGACCUCUGUAGUGCAAAAACCACCCUGGCAUCUCGUGGACCCUUCCAGCGAGCAAUGGGGUUUGCAGCCUCCGCCGCGGCACCAUCAGGCACGGCUGGCUGCGAUGCUAAUGCACUGCGAUUCCGCCGCGCGGAGUAAUGGACAUUGCAGCACGAAAUUAACGGUGCAUCUGCUCCUCGCUGCAGACGCCGGAGAGAGUGGGCUGUAAUUUCGUCUCCGAUCCCCCAAAUAAUGUUUGUUGUCGUGCUGUAAUCUUGGCAAUCAAUGUAACAGCUGAACAGA